rnacentral:snRNA from 1 species
CACUUUGCGCAGUGGCAGUAUUGUAGCCUAUGAGGUUUAUCCAAGGCACGAUUAUUGCUAGUUGAAAACAUCUAUACAAUUCCAUGUAAUUGUCAAUAAAUAAAGAUUGCAUCCAAA